rnacentral:rRNA from 1 species
CUCCUGUCAUUUGGGAACAAGGUGCACACGUUGACUGCGUGGGCAUUGAUAGUACCAGAAGAGGAAGGGACGGCUAACUCUGUGC